AGCGAACGCUGGCGGCAGGCUUAACACAUGCAAGUCGAGCGCCCCGCAAGGGGAGCGGCAGACGGGUGGGUAACACGUGGGAACGUACCCUUUGGUUCGGAACAACCCAGGGAAACUUGGGCCAAUACCGGAUAAGUCCGCGAGGAGAAAGAGUUAUCGCCGAAGGAUCGGCCCGCGUCUGAUUAGCUAGUUGGUGUGGUAACGGCGCACCAAGGCGACGAUCAGUAGCUGGUCUGAGAGGAGGAUCAGCCACACUGGGACUGAGACACGGCCCAGACUCCUACGGGAGGGAGCAGUGGGGAAUAUUAGACAAUGGGGGCAACCCUGAUCCAGCCAUGCCGCGUGAGUGAUGAAGGCCCUAGGGUUGUAAAGCUCUUUCGGUGGGGAAGAUAAUGACGGUACCCACAGAAGAAGCCCCGGCUAACUUCGUG
rnacentral:rRNA from 1 species